rnacentral:snRNA from 1 species
UGUAUUGUUGAGACAUGG